rnacentral:rRNA from 1 species
CAAGCGGAGGGAUCAUUA